CUAAAACUCAAAGGAAUUGACGGGAACCCGCACAAGCGGUGGAGCAUGUGGUUCAAUUCGACGAUAAGCGAGGAACCUUACCAGGGCUUGACAUGUCUGGAAUCCGGCCGAAAGGUUGGAGUGCCCGCAAGGGAACCAGAACACAGGUGCUGCAUGGCUGUCGUCAGCUCGUGUCGUGAGACGUCGGGUUAAGUCCUACAACGAGCGCAACCCUUAUCUCAUGUUGAAUUGUUCAUGAGAGACUGCCUCGGUUAACGAGGAGGAAGGUGGGGAUGACGUCAAGUCAGCAUGGCCCUUAUGCCCUGGGCGACACACGUGCUACAAUGGAGCCGACAACGGGACGCCAAGUCGCAAGACGGAGCCUCAAAGGAAUUGACGGGAACCCGCACAAGCGGUGGAGCAUGUGGUUCAAUUCGACGAUAAGCGAGGAACCUUACCAGGGCUUGACAUGUCUGGAAUCCGGCCGAAAGGUUGGAGUGCCCGCAAGGGAACCAGAACACAGGUGCUGCAUGGCUGUCGUCAGCUCGUGUCGUGAGACGUCGGGUUAAGUCCUACAACGAGCGCAACCCUUAUCUCAUGUUGAAUUGUUCAUGAGAGACUGCCUCGGUUAACGAGGAGGAAGGUGGGGAUGACGUCAAGUCAGCAUGGCCCUUAUGCCCUGGGCGACACACGUGCUACAAUGGAGCCGACAACGGGACGCCAAGUCGCAAGACGGAGCAAAUCCCUUAAACGGCCCCCCAGUUCGGAUUGGGGUCUGCAACUCGACCCCAUGAAGCCGGAAUCGCUAGUAACCGUGGAUCAGCCUUGCCGCGGUGAAUACGUUCUCGGGUUUUGUACACACCGCCCGUCAAGUCAGGGGAGCCGGAAAUGCCCGAACCCCGCAUUCGCGGGGGAAGGUAGGUCUGGUAACAAGGACUAAGUCGUAACAAGGCAUCCGUAGCGGAAGCUGUGGAUGGAUCACCUCCUUUCUAAGGAGAAA
rnacentral:rRNA from 1 species